AGCAAAGAUAUAUUUUAAGAUUGCUCCUAUCCUACAAAAAAUUACACUACUAGCAAUAACUAUAUUUUUUACAGAAUAUAUGAACAUAUUGAAAUAUAACAGGAGAAUGUUAACUUAAACUUCGCCAAUAUAUAUAUAUUUUUUGUUAAAUUUUUUGUACCAGCAAAUUUACCCCAAAAUAAAUGUUGGCUAAACUGUUUAACACAGCUGAUCAGUGUCAUGUGGUAUAGCAAAAGGAGUACUUGUGUAACCUGCACCAAGAUUUCAGGAUUUUAGGUGAUCUUCAUGGUGAGAACCUAUCAACGAUCCCCUGGGUCGCGAUCCUACAUGGAUUACAGCCCAGAACAAAUGGAUUCAGCAAUUACUGCUGUUAGAAAGGGAAUGAGCAUGACAGCUGCCGAAAGAUACAAAGUAAAAAUGGAAGCGUUGAGGAAAAGAUGCAAGAACAUGGACAUGAAGAGACCACGGGGACAGACAAUAUUAACGGAAGCUGAAGAAUCUUUGUUGUGUUCUUACACCACCCAGCUUGCUGAAUGGGGCUUCCCAAUAACCUCAUUUGAGUUACGUUUGCUCGUGCGAUCAAACUUAAAAAAGCAGGGUAAAACAAUCACAAGGUUUUCUGAUGGGUGUACCCCAGGAGUAGAGUGGGCUCGGUCGUUCAUAAAACGCAACAGUGAAAAAAUAUGUUCCCGCAUGGUCUCAAACAUCAACCCCAAACGUUCUCAGUGAAAUCCUGAAGAUGUUAACAACUAUUUUGACAAUAUGGCAGACAUUAGUAACAGAAUCUACAGACUUAGGACUUUUCUUAAAAAAUCUCGAGGGGGUUUCUUUAUUUGGUCAGACAAGCCAGAUGUUUCUGUCAUUGACAAAGCACAGGUAAUCAGAGUUCUUCCUGCAUCAGUUGAAGAGAGAAGAGGCAGGUUAAUGUUUCAUGUAACGUUUGAUAGCUUUAAUGUUGGUUAAACUUUUCAACCGAACGUGUGUUUUUUAGUGACGUUGUUGGAGAAUUUACAAAUUGGUUGGCAAAAUGAACAAUUAUGGAACUGCAUGUAACAUAACUAUGGGUACCAUAGAUAUGAUGCCCUAUUUAGGACUAUUUUAUAUAUUUCACUCUUGUGUAUUGCUAUGUAUUCAUUAUUUUGUGUGACCAUGUUCACCCCUUUAAAAAUUCACCAUUUUCAGAAUGUUUUGCAUUGGUUUUGUGUUGUGACCAUAGUGACCCCAAUCGGUGAGGUGACUAUGGUCACAAUGUAUUAUUUUUUUACUUAAAUAUAUAGGCUCAAAAAAAUUCAUGCUAAUAGUAUUUUGAAAGCCAGAAUCAAGUACUGUGUUGUACAAAUUUUUAAUGAAAUAUAUAAUUAAAUAUAACAAAUCUGGUAUGAAAAAACCAUUAAAAGUGACCAUAGUCACCCCGCUUGACGGUCCCUAAUGGAUUGAAAAAGGGGUGAAUUCAUAUUUCUAACAGAAAAUCAUAGGUCAUAGACAUACAAUCAGUGAGUGUGUGUCAUUUCUCUAUGUCCGCCACAUGAUCAUUCAUAUAGUAACGUCUGACUAUCCUUCUCCUUGGUGAGACCUAUCCGCAGUGUUGCCAACCCUAGGGAUUUAUCCCCAGAUUUGGGGAUUUCACGGGUCAUCUAGGGAACUAGGGAAUUAUUUUUUCAAAAAGGCCUUUUCUAUGGAAAACUAAGAAUGUUGCUAUUUUACAACAUGGGUGUACAAAAAUAAAGGCAAUUUUUUGUAGAUAGUUAAAAAAAACUUUUCAUUUGUCAAUUGUUAUCACAUAUUUUUGUGGUUUCUCAAACUUACCUGCAGUAGGUGCUUCCCCUUCUUUCAUGUGAUUAUCACUCCCGUGCUUUGCACUUUGGGAAUUCCCCUUCGUAUCUUGCUUCCAUAUACUGUACCUUCCCGGUUUUAGUGGCGCGCGCGGGUUGCUACUGCUAAGUGCUACAUGUUUUGUGACCAGUUGAAGCAAUGCUUUCAGGAUAGGUGUGUUUGGUAUUAAUAUACAGGGUGUCUACCAGAUCUAGUAAAUGAAAUUCCCUGAUUUUUCCAGGUUUUCCAGGUCUAAAACUUAAUUUUUCUAGGUUUUCCUUAACACAAUUACGACAUUCCACGAAACUGAAAAAACUGCAUAACAAUACAUUGAUGGGUUUCAAAGUAUUUCAACUUACUUAAAUUAGUAAAAAUAUUACUUUCUUCUAGACGUGGCCAAAGUGACUCAAUUGAUGGCAAAUAAAACAUGCUGCUACAAAUAUUUCACACACUUACUUUUGCAAAAAACAUUAGUAAAAGGAAGCUCCCGUCAAUUUCGCAGUGACUCAACUUUUGCAUCUAUAGAACUUGCUUUAGAACAAGCAAAAUCCAACACUUGAGCCUUCUUAAACUGCAAUGCCUUGAUCUCCUCUUCAACUCUUCUUUUUUCUGCCUUCUUCUUGUCUGUAGGUUCCUUUUCUUUUUGUUUUGUUUGCAGGACUUCCUUACGCCUACAACUAGCAUUUCUUACAUACUGUAACAUGGACUUGAUGAUAUCAACAUGCUCUACACCUCCAGAACAUUGAACAAGUCAUACACUUGUCUUUGCGCAAUCAGUGUUUCUUCCUGCAAGUUUUCAGUCAGCAGAUUAGAAUUCACUGAAAAUCCUCUUUCCAAUGAUGCAUUUCCAUGGGAAAGUACCAACAUCAUCCUCACAAACUUAGAAGGCCUGUUUUAGCAGCUACUGUAUUUGCCUUCAGAAUGAGCAUCCACAAGUAAUCAAGAUGCCCGUCUUCUCGAGAAAAAGACGAGAACAGUGCUUCAGAUCUUGCGAGGAACAUACCAACUAAUAUGAUCACUCAAUGUUAUCAGCGUCUUGUCCUGAUAGCCACCUGUUUCGAAGACAACAUUCUAAACUGUACUUCACAUGCUGUUUCCUCACACCCGAAUUUAAAGCCAUAGACAGACAUAAGCAGGAAAUUCCUUUGGUAAGUUUGUACUUUAGGGGACUUUUGUCUUGGAAGUUUUUUUACCAUAACCUUUGGACAAGUCCUAACAUCAUUUUUCAGUAACAGGACAGACUUUUCUGGUAGUUUCUCUUUCUUGAUGGCAUGGCGUACUGCAUAACCCAACUUGAUAUUGUUAGCAGUCAAUAGAUUUUCCUGGUUAUCUAAAUCCAAUCGAGAUACAUUGCGUUUUUCCCUAAAGCUCUUCAGUACCUCUGGUUUCACAAACUUUCCUGCCAAAGCUAAUAAAAUGUAUACCAGUGAAUCAUACAGAAAAGGUGCUAUGGGUGCUUCACUUUGGAACAUUGUAAGAAACAAUUCCAGCUCUGAUGCCAAAGAGUGGAAGAAUGUAAAUUUUACUUCUAGAAGAUUAUCUUCAAGAGCACUUUUAACAACAUUGAAAGACAGAUGAAAUAGAAACUUCACUAACAAAUUUCAUUGGAACAUUGUAAGAAACAAUUCCAGCUCUGAUGCCAAAGAGUGGAAAAAUGUAAAUUUUACUUCUAGAAGAUUAUCUUCAAGAGCACUUUCCACUACCUACAUUGAAAGACAGAUGAAAUAGAAACUUCACUAACAAAUUUCUUUAGGUGGGGUAACGUUUUCAUGGCACGCUCAGCAACUGCAGUAUUUUAUAACCAUCUGAUUGCACAAAAUUUCUUGGGAAAAAGCUCUGAUCCAGUUAUUAUAAUGUAAUCUGCCCUCCUUGCAGGUACAUGCUUAAACAAAUAGUAACUGUGCCUCUAAAAACUAACAACGUCCCAUUGUGUAGCCUAAAAUCCAGUUUUGAAAGCACCAUGGACCGUAUGAAGCUCACAGCUACCAAUUUAUAGCAAUGAUGGUGAAUCUUCACGAAAAGUGUCUGUGAUAUGUAUUUUCAAAGCUAACAAAAAUGCCCAGUUUACAUUGGGCAUCCAUAAUUACUUAAAAUUAAAUGCACCUGUCGGUGUAAUCCGAACGCGGGAAGCACAUGCCGCAGCACGUACGUCAGCAGGAUAACAGACCAGCUUGAACCAGUUUGUAUCACGUGAUUUAACGCCACUUCCGAAUCCGAUGGUAAAUAAAAGAAAAUGGACGUGGGAACUGUUCGUUAUUUGCCAUUCAAAAAUAAAAAUGGGAGGGGAUACACUUGAUGCUACGUCAAUGCAAGCUGAUCAAUAAACAAAAAAGUAUUGCCAACUACAACCUACCAAACAAUAAUUCCCUGAUUUUUGAAAAAAUUCCCUGAUUUUUCCCUGAUUAUUCCCUGAUUACAAUAUUCCCUGAUUUUUCCAGGUUUUCCAGGUUUUCCAGGGUCAGUAGACACCCUGAAUAUAGUAAGGUAUUUGGUGCUAUUUAAGAGAAUAGUGAAUUUUUGUGGCUAGAGAAAGUGUCGACAUAAUUGUUUCUAAUACUAAACUCAAUCUGGUAAGUAACAAUAUAUUCAUAUUAAUUAAGUUAACAGUAAAAUUAAUUUUAUUAAAAUGUUAUGAUUUGCUUUAAAUUUUUUUAGAUUAUUACUACUUUGCGUGUGAAUAGUCCAUGAUAUAAAAGUGACCAGUAUUCCGGCAUAGAACUGAAAUAUAUUUCCAGGAUAAAACACCUAAUUUUAAAAUUAUUUUUGAUAGCCUGCAAAUAUUUUAGUAAGCCUUCAAAAUUUUGCAGUAGUUCGUAAAAGUUAUAUCCCCUUUCCUUUGAAGUACAGAUACUAUUUCUUGAUUGCAAUAUUAUUAAAGUAUAAGACAAACUGUAAUAUUUCCAUAGUUCAUUUCAAUGUUUAGUUGUAGGAAGUGUAAAUGCUCUUGUGUCAACUAACAGACUUUUUUUUAAAAAAUAAUUUAAUCAUUUUAAUGUGAUCAUCUGUAUUAUAGAUUACAAUUUUUUCCCCUGCAUGCUAUGUCCUAUAAAAAAUGAGUGGUAACUGCAACGAAAGAGAGGGAGCACAUCCCAUUCUUCCCACUCCACCCAAAAAGAAAAAACUUAGCUACAGUCAGAAAUAUCUAGUGUCCUGGGAAAAUGAACCUGCUUUUAAGGGUUGGUUAACAGACAGCAAUAAAGGGCCAAUGUUUUUUCGGUGUAAAGCUUGCCAGACCGAUGCAAAGGAUGGAAAAUCAUAAAUCGAAAAACAUUCCAAAACCAAUAAGCACAUGAGCUCUGUUCAAUCUGUUAAAAUUCAACCAAAAAUAGAUAAACUUUUGACCGUGGCUACUAGUUCUAGCCAUGAAGAUAAAGUGAAAAGUGCAGAGUUGCUAAUAGCAGCAUUCAUAGCUGAGCACAAUAUAACAUUUAAUGCUGCAUCACACUUGUCUAAACUCAUACCAAAAAUAUGUUCUUAUUCGGUUAUCGCUAUAGGCAUUACAUGUAGUCAUACAAAAUGUACAGCACUUGUCAAAAAUGUGAUUGGGCGGAAAUCCUUUGAGGAUCUGUGUGAAAAGCUGAAGGUUAACAAAUUUUCAAUCUUGGUUGAUGAAGCCUCUGACAGUGUUGGAAUAAAGCAAUUUUGCAUUGUAGUUAGGACAGUAGAUGAUAACUUUAAAGUGCAUGAAAAGUUUUUCAGCCUCACUGAUCUAGGUAGUGCUACAUCUGAAGUACUGUUUGAUAUGGUUAUCCAAUCAUUUCAGGAAGCUGGAAUUGAACUAAAGGAUAAUUUAGUGGGGAUGGCUGGAGAUGGAGCAAAUGUAAUUAUGGGAGGUAAUAAUUCUCUGUCUUCUCGCCCCAAGGAAAUGAUACAUGGAAUAUUUAUUAUGAAAUGCAUUUGUCAUUCGUUCCACCUUUGUGCCUCAAAGGCAUGCCAGAAACUGCCUGAUUUUGUUGAACAACUUACGCGAGACAUCUACAACUAUUUCCAUUGCAGCUCUAAACGUUUUGCAGCACUUCGCGAAUUCCAAGAAUUUGUUGGUACAGAGCCACAUAAAUUACUUCAUCCAGCACAGACACGGUGGCUCUCAUUACUCCCUGUGGUAAAGAGGAUACUAGAGCAAUAUCAGGCUUUAAUUUUGUUCUUUCAAGAUGUUGCUCUCUCGGAACAAAUUCCAGCUGCUCAAAACAUUUUAACUUUGCUUAGAAAUCCAAUUUGCAAACUUUACCUUCAGUUUUUAGAGUUUAUUUUGUCACAAUUUGAAGACCUUAAUAAGAAAAUGCACAGCGAGAAACCCUAAUUAUAUCUGCUGUAUAGCAGAAUUUCAGCACUUUAUAAAAGCAUCCUGACUGUUACAUAAAACCAGAUUAUUUGACACGUAGUACGGUUGAAGAAAUUCAGUACAGGAAUCCUGCAAACUAUCUUCCGUUAGAUGAUCUUUAUUUAGGAGAAAAAGUUACUGCAAUAGUUUCAGCCAAAACCAUUUCCUGUAAUAGAGAAGAUUUACAUCAGUUCAAGCUAAAAUGCCUGGAAUUUCUAAUUGAAGGAGCUCAUCAAAUUUAUCAGAGAUUUCCUUUCAAGAACAUGAGCAAUUUAAAACAACUGGAAUUUUUAAACCCAGAAAAUGUUAACGAAUCAAUUGCCACCAUCGCAAAUAUUUUCCCCCAGUAUUCUCAGCUUAUUACUGAGAAUGAAUACCAAGAAGUGGAUAAAGAAUGGUGACUACUACGGCAGACUGAAAUCGUGUUUGGCAAAAAUUAGAGCAUAGAAGAAUUAUGGGCAAGAGUACAACUAAUGAAAAGUGGUGAUGAAAAUCCUCUUUUCAGAAAAUUAACAACCUUCGUCAAAAAUCUUCUAGCUCUGCUACACUCAAGUGCAUCAGUCGAGAGGGUAUUUUCGCCCUGCAAACUUCUGCUGUCGGAUCGUAGAAAUAGACUUUCCACGAAGACGAUGAUUGGCUUGCUUCAUGCAAAAAGAGACAUUGAAACUUGUCAUGAAUUCAAAUUUGAAAAACAACAUAAGGCAUUGUUCAGCAAGUCCAUGUAUGAGUUUAAAGGCGAUGAACACAACAGCAGUGAAGAUUAAUAUUGUGCUUUAAUGAUAUAUAGUGAAAUGUAUAAGUGUAAAAAUUAUCAUAAAUUAACUAGAGAUAUUAACAUAAUAAACCAUACUUCCACUUUGGAAGUUUGUCUUAUUGGUUCACAUUUAAACAAGCAAGAGUCAGUGAAAUAGUGUUUCCAGUUUUCUUGCAGCCAGUAAAAAUUUAUUUUAUUUCAAGACUCUGGUGUGUUUCUGGUCGUCUAUAUAUUGCUACACCGGCUAAGUAAGGCAAGUUUAACAGUUUUUACUAGUAAUUUUCAUGUGAAUAUUGUUGUUUUGGUUUUUGGUUUAUAGUUUAGAUUUUCACCAAUGUUAUAAUCUAUAACUAUACAUUUUUUAGAUGCAAUUGAAUUUUAUUAUUAUUUUUUACCAUCUAGGAAUUUUUAUUGAAAUCUGGGGGGAAAAAUGUGUGGUUUCCAGGGAUUUCAUGAGAGUACAGGUUGGCAACACUGCCUAUCCGCUUAGUGGAGCUCAUGGCAGCUAGUGAACUUACGGCGCUAACAACAAUUUAGUGUUGCACUGAAUUUUAAACAGGCUAUCGUCUGAGCCCACAAAAAACUCGAGCUAUGAAGAUAGCCAGACAGAAAAAAAAAACAUUGCUUCAUGCAGAACAGCAAACUGAACAGGAGCAGCGUCAGACAGCUGCUCGAGUGACUGGAAACACAGUUCAGGUGGACAUAGCAUCUCAGUAUGCCUCUGAGACAGCCGAAGAGGCAGAUGCGUGCCGACAUGCUAUUAGUGCUAUUACUCAACGACAAGCUCACCAGAGUCUGUAAACAUUUGUAAUGAACACGUGGGGUAUUUUUGAAAAGUGCUUUUGACUAUGAUCAAACUUUACUCGAUUUGUCAAUCAAUCUUCCGUUUUUUGGUUCUAUUUCUAUUUACGUUUUUAAUGCAAUAAAUUUAUAGAAUUGAUGUACCAUUAUUGAUAUACCAUUUGUACCAUUAUUCCGUACAAUCGUAUAGUAUCUACGGUUCGUACCAUAACGUGUAGUUAUUUUAAUAGUCUAAAUGCCCACAACUGUCGGCUAAAACUCUUGGUAAAGCGUACAUCUAAGAAAUAAACGUAGUUAUUUACGAUAAUUAUGGGAGCUGUUUUGGUACACGUUCGUCAUUGGUGUUUGUUAGCCAAUCAGAAAAAGGUUUCAUUUGUUUUCCAAGAUGGUGUAUUUUGUCAACAUUGUAAACUGUGUUUACGGUGGUGUUGGUUUGAAAUAAAGACGAACUGGAUUAAUAAUGAGUUUAUGAUACCACUAUUUACAUUCGUGCCCAAAUUCACUUCGGUUUGUCAGCCGGCUAUGUGUGAAUUGUUUGUUCGUCCUCGAACAAUUUUGCCUUUGUUAGCAUCUGUGCUCACAGGCAAAGUGUAGAGGUAGCAUUAUAGUACAGUCAUUGAAUUUAUUCAAUGGUGUAUUCAUAAAAAUAUUAUUUUGUGGAAGCAGUUGCGUGAUGAGUAUUUUGUACGUGUUGUUUAGUUGUAAGCCUACUCCGCAAUAGGGAUUUAAUAGAAAUGUCGCUAAGUAAGCCUACAGUGAAGUAUCUUGCUGUGUACAAAAAGACAUUUAGUGACGAAUUUCCGUGCAUUUUGCAAUUGAAGAAAGGUGAACAUGCUGCAUUUUGUUCUUUGUGCCGUGAUUUUCCCGUCUCGCAUGCUGGAAAGGGCGACAUUUUGAAGCAUAUAAAUACGAAGAAAUAUGCCGUCAAUCUAAAUGCAUAUAGCAUCAAAUCAGAAAUUAGACAUUUUUCGUGACACAAGUGGAAAGAAGAUAGUGUGACAAAAGCAGAGGGUUUGUUAACAUAUUUUAUUUUAGAAUACAAUUUGUCCAUUGCUUGUGCUGAUCAUGCUGGUUUACUCUCAAAUUUUUUUUUUUCAAAAUUUACAAAAUAAACAAAAAAUUUUCCGGGCUUUAUUGCCUUAUUGGGGGGAACAAGUAUUUACUCCACUAAAAAACCUCCCACUUUUGGACUGGCCAAAGUUGGCAGGUAUGCAUUUAUGGUACAGGGGCAAAUUUAUCAUAGAAUAGGUACAUAUGUCUAGCAGUCAGCCAUAACUUUUACAAGUUCACUUUAUGGGAGACGAAGUAGCAGAUUCUGAUAGUAUCAAAUUAAUAUGGGAGUCGAAUGGUUGACUGCGCUAAAAACACAGCAAAUCCUACAUGAAAAUAAUAUUUUGGUGCAUGAAUUCAAAACAGCUGUCGAAAACAUGCCUGAAUAGAACUGCAAGAUGGUUAUUCGUACAGCACGCACGCUGAGGUCGCAUCUGUGGUCGUUCUGCACAAACAUGAAGAUUCCCUUGCCAGGAUUGUCAACACGCACCAAUUUUACGAUGCUCUUCAGUAUCCAGUUAUAUUAUGGAAAGGGCAAGCAGGAUAUCACUUUAGUAUUCCUCAAACUAACCCAUCUACUUGGUGACCAAACCCAAACAAUGUUUCAUGCAUGGACUUCUAUGCAUUCCACCUCAUGGUCCAUGAAAAUUAUUUUAACUUGCAGGAUGCUUAUUUUUCAAUUUUUAGCAGAUAUGUAUGUAAAGCCCAAAAUCAAAGUAAGAUGCGUGCAGAAAACUAUGUUCACUUACAAUAUGCCAUUGCGAAUUAUGGCAAUGUAAAUCCGAACGACUUAGAACAAAUGAUAAUACUCCCAUUGUCAUUUGUGAAUAGUCAGUGAUACUCUCACCGAGAUCAAGGAAUAGCUGACUGCCAUGAUGUCACAGCAAGGUGCUAAACUGGUGACCCUCCUCACCGAAGGCCAUGUUUUUGGUAAGGCACAAUGCUUUAUGUACUCGAUUGAGUGGUAAAUGCGUGGUUUACACCACAUGCAUUUGUUUGUGUGUGUUGACAGAGAAGUUGCACCCAAACCAAAUCAACGGGAUCAUAUCUGCGGAGCUGCCUGAUCCAAACCUGGACAAAGAGCUGUACGACACCGUCACCAAGAGCAUGAUUCAUGGACCGUGCAUGGACAGAAAAUGCACAAAAAUACACAAACAAAUGAUAAUGGCAAUCCUUUAUACACAUGCAGAGCACCCGAUGACAGUGGAUGUACCAUGACAAAAUAAGAGAUACCUUGAAAAUGUAGUAGUUCACCACAGCUGGGUUGUCUUUUACUCGCCCCUUCUGUCCAAAAUGUUUAUCGCCCACAUCAAGAGUAGUUUUGUAACUCGGUCCAGGCAAUAAAUACAUUUGUAAGUACGUCAACAAAGGGAGUGACCAGGCAAUAUUUAUUGUACAACAGCAGGGAAAUGUUAAUAUUGAUCCACAAGUCAAAGUACAGAUGUUUAGAGCAGGCCGAUACGUAAGCAGCAAUGAAAUGGCAUGGCGAAUAUUAGGCUUACCACUGCACGAGAGGCAUCCAAUAGUUACACAUCUUGCAGUGCAAUUUCCUGAUGGCGAGUGUGUUUACCUUACAAAAGCCAUUUUGCGCGAUCAAUUCGCGACACCACCAUUAACCACCCUCACAGCAUUUUUCUGUCUGUGUGCAUGCACACAAGCAUGUGAUUGCGGCACUCAAUCACAGCAAGUCAUCUGCGGCAACUGAAUGUUGAUGGGUAAAGUGGUCGUCUUGCUCGCAAGCGAUUUUGAGUAGAUGCUAUCAGACACCGAGUGAGGAACAGCAGCAGAAGAGAUCAACGCAUGUCUUAAGACUUCAGAGCUUGGUGGGCUAGAGGGGAAAGGUUGCACUUCACAACCAAUACGAAGAGUCCAGCUAUACAAAGACCAAGAGUCUGGAUUCUUAGCUCAAAAACUUCUCAAGAUCAGUGAAGGUUCCAUGGCAAUGGAUUCAGAAGGCAUGAUUGAAUUUGAAGACAAUUUCUAAAAUGUUUUAAGUUCAAAAGGCAAACUAACUGCUAAGGUUUUCCGAGCUUAUAACAGAACACACACAACGAGGACUGGUUGCGUGAAAGAGCGUUCAUGGUGACUAAGAACGAAUCGGUGGGAUGUCAAUAAAAAAUUAUUGAUAAAGUACCUGGUAAGGAGAUCUACACAUCUAUUGACACAGUGAUGACAAAUGAUGAUGUAAACUCAUGAUUUAAACUCAUUAGUUAUCAGGGGUGCCAUCCCAUAAGUUGGAGCUGAAGUUCCGUGUACCUGUGUUACUGAUGUGUAACCUGGAUAUGCCAUAGUUGUAUAAUGGCACUAGGUUACACAUCACAGAACUGAAAAGGCAUAUUGUGCAGGCUACCAUUAUCACUGUAGGAGCCAAAGGAGAGAUGGUAUUGAUACCACGAAUUCACAUCAUUUAUCCCUCCAAAUGUACCUUUUCAGUUAAAAUACUAACAGUUCCCUUUGAAAGUGGCAACUUCAAUUACUGUUAAAGUCAAGGAAAAACACCUAAAGUGGCAGGAAUACAUCUCGGCACCCCAUGUUUUUUUUUGCUCGGACCGCUAUAGGUUGGAUGCCCACGUGUAUCAAGAGCCACAAAUCUCUACAUAUAAGCAGAGAACCAUAGUCUCGAAGUAUUGUUUACAGAGACGUAUUGCAGUAAAGUUUUGGGUCUUAAAACACCUAGAAAUUAUAAUAAUCUUUUUACCACGUGUUGAGUUACUGUCUCAUAAAGUAACAUUAGUAUCUCUUGAACAUGUGUGAGAAAUGUAU